rnacentral:rRNA from 1 species
AUUGAACGCUGGCGGCAUGCCUUACACAUGCAAGUCGAACGGUAACGCGGGGGCAACCCUGGCGACGAGUGGCGAACGGGUGAGUAAUACAUCGGAACGUACCCAGUAGUGGGGGAGUAGCUCGGCGAAAGCCGGAUUAAUACCGCAUACGACCUAUGGGUGAAAGCGGGGGAUCGCAAGACCUCGCGCUAUUGGAGCGGCCGAUGUCGGAUUAGCUAGUUGGUGAGGUAAAGGCNCACCAAGGCUACGAUCCGUAGCUGGUCUGAGAGGACGACCAGCCACACUGGGACUGAGACACGGCCCAGACUCCUACGGGAGGCAGCAGUGGGGAAUUUUUGGACAAUGGGCGCAAGCCUGAUCCAGCCAUGCCGCGUGUGUG